rnacentral:rRNA from 1 species
UACGAAGGGGGCUAGCGUUGCUCGGAAUCACUGGGCGUAAAGCGCACGUAGGCGGAUUGUUAAGUCGGGGGUGAAAUCCUGGAGCUCAACUCCAGAACUGCCUUCGAUACUGGCGAUCUUGAGUCCGGGAGAGGUGAGUGGAACUCCGAGUGUAGAGGUGAAAUUCGUAGAUAUUCGCAAGAACACCAGUGGCGAAGGCGGCUCACUGGCCCGGUACUGACGCUGAGGCACGAAAGCGUGGGGAGCAAACAGG